rnacentral:rRNA from 1 species
UACGGAGGGUGCGAGCGUUGUCCGGAAUCACUGGGCGUAAAGGGCGCGUAGGCGGCCUGGUAAGUCGGGGGUGAAAUCCUGCGGCUUAACCGCAGGGCUGCCUUCUAAACUGUCAGGCUAGAGCACGGUAGAGGCAGAUGGAAUUCCCGGUGUAGCGGUGGAAUGCGUAGAGAUCGGGAAGAACAUCAGUGGCGAAGGCGGUCUGCUGGGCCGUUGCUGACGCUGAGGCGCGACAGCGUGGGGAGCAAACAGG